GCCAUAGUAGGAAUUAGAGUGGGGGGGAGGGGGCGGAGGGGGGGAAUUACCAUUAGCAGUUGAAGUGGUAGGAAAUUUUUACAUAGGAGAGUAUGGUGAUCAUAUUUGCAUUUUAGAAAAUAAUGGAUAGCAGUUUGUUAGGGGAACAAAGGACAGAGACAGGGAGACUAUUUAAAACAUUAAUAAAAAAUGCCAGUGACAGAUGAUGAGGCAUCUACCUGAUGGGAACGGAGAAGAGGAGAUGGAUUCAGAAACUACUUAUGAGAGGCAGGCGGUCCAAGGCUGAUGCCCAAAGAAGCCAUCAAGACCCGUGCUACUUCCAGCUCCUUCUGUCCUCAUAAUCAUAGAUGAUUGCUCCACAUCCAGCACCUAACACCAGUACUCAGUUAAAUUUUUUGCUGAAUAAAUCAAUGAAUGGAGAGGUAAAGAGGAACCAGAAGUUGGGGUUACGGAAGUCACUGAUGGAAGAGUUUCAAGAUAGUAGAAGUGGUCAGCCCUGUUAAGUGACAAGCCAAGGACUGAAGAAAGGCUGGCAGAUUUGGCAAUCAGAUGAAGUGACCUGACCAAAGAGCAGCUUGUGUGAAGUAGUGAGGACAGGCGCUGGUCUGCAACGGGUUUAGGAGGAAAUGGAAAUGAGGAAGAAGAGAUAGGAAAGUGGAGAUUAUACAAUGGCAAGUAUCAAGAUGAAAAUGAACACAUUUGGCCUGCUACCUGAAUUUUUUAAAUCGGCUCACCAAAAAAUAUCAGGCUUAUUGAAAUAUUGGCAUAUCUGAUGAAGUUUCCUCUUAUCUUUGAGCUGUUUGGGUUUGGGUAAAACUUCAAUGCUUAAAAUUCACGUCUACAACUAGCAGGCAGAACCUUAAAGUCCAGAACAAUUAAAGGGUUUAAUAAUGGUGAGGCAUAUGAUGAUGCCGAUGAUGAUAAUGUUUCUUUCUUUCUUUUGUGAUCUUAAUCAUUGUGUGAUCUUAACUAGUUUGAAAUGAGAAUUUCAAUGGAGACAGUAGUGUAAAUUUACCAACAGAACAAUUACAGUCAAGACAAAACAAAAACUA
rnacentral:lncRNA from 1 species